ACAUUAAGCACUGUAAUUUUAUUUUAUUUUCACAGUUGUGCAGGGAAGUUAUACUAUCAAGCUAUCCACUCCUUUAGAAUUCUUGUAAUGAAUCAAUAUAACAUAUACAAUAUAUAAAAGGGCUGGAAGCUAAUGUAAGUUCUUUAAAUUUAUGGAGGACACACUAUAGGUAUUUUUUAGGGGUCAGUAGACAAUAAAUGAAUAGAGUGUUUAUAUAAAAUGCCUAAAAAAAGGAUGAUCUAUAAAGGCUUGUUUCAGUUAAGAGCCAGUGAAAUUGAUGAAAAUAUAGUCAUUGAAAUUGGUGUAGUCUAUUGAAUUCUAUUACAAGGAUUAAUGUAUGUGUAUACACUUGCACACACAUAUGAUAUUGGCAGUAUUGUUAGUUAUAAGCUAAAGUUAUAAAAUGAAUAUGAAGAUUGCGUUCCUUAUAGUGAUUUAAAAGAAACAUGAGUGAGAGCUUUAUAGUGUCGCAUCAAAUGCAAAACUUGGUGACCAAAUCUUUUGUCCCAGUCCUAUGACAGCCAAAAUCAGGUGAGUCCAAAC
rnacentral:lncRNA from 1 species